rnacentral:rRNA from 1 species
AUUGAACGCUGGCGGCAGGCCUAACACAUGCAAGUCGAACGGUAACAGGAAGCAGCUUGCUGCUUCGCUGACGAGUGGCGGACGGGUGAGUAAUGUCUGGGAAGCUGCCUGAUGGAGGGGGAUAACUACUGGAAACGGUAGCUAAUACCGCAUAAUGUCGCAAGACCAAAGAGGGGGACCUUCGGGCCUCUUGCCAUCGGAUGUGCCCAGAUGGGAUUAGCUUGUUGGUGGGGUAACGGCUCACCAAGGCGACGAUCCCUAGCUGGUCUGAGAGGAUGACCGGCCACACUGGAACUGAGACACAGUCCAGACUCCUACGGGAGGCAGCAGUGGGGAAUAUUGCACAAUGGGCGCAAGCCUGAUGCAGCCAUGCCGCGUGUAUGAAGAAGGCCUUCGGGUUGUAAAGUACUUUCAGCGGGGAGGAAGGGAGUAAAGUUAAUACCUUUGCUCAUUGACGUUACCCGCAGAAGAAGCACCGGCUAACUCCGUG